UAUUGCCUGAGCUCGUGUCGCGGAAGCUUAUGCGCACUCCCUGUUGCGAGGAGUUUGGAUCCGGUCGAUGAUACAUUUCUUGCAUGGGCUCGUGCUUGUGUUGAGGCUAGAGACGAGCUGCAGUGCUCGGGCGUCCUAUGCACGUAGUUUUGAUCCUUCCGACGAUGCAAUCUUGCACCCGCGCAUGCUUAUGUUAAGGCUGGAGAGAG
rnacentral:lncRNA from 1 species